rnacentral:rRNA from 1 species
AAAGACUGGCUAAUACCGCAUCACAUCCUGCCUUUGAAGAGGUGGAGAUCAAAGCUGGGGAUCGCAAGACCCAGCGCUGGAAGAGGGGCCCGCGCCUGAUUAGCUAGUUGGUGAGGUAACGGUUCACCAAGGCGACGAUCAGUAUCCGGCCUGAGAGGGCGGACGGACACACUGGGACUGAGACACGGCCCAGACUCCUACGGGAGGCAGCAGUGGGGAAUUGUUCGCAAUGGGCGCAAGCCUGACGACGCAACGCCGCGUGGAGGAUGAAGACCUUCGGGUCGUAAACUCCUUUCGAUCGAGACGAAUGGCCUCCGGGCAAAUACCCCGGAGGAGUGACGGUACCGAGAGAAGAAGCCCCGGCUAACUCCGUGCCAGCAGCCGCGGUAAUACGGGGGGGGCAAGCGUUGUUCGGAAUUACUGGGCGUAAAGGGCUCGUAGGCGGCCAACUAAGUCAGACAUGAAAUCCCUCGGCUUAACGGGGGAACUGCGUCUGAUACUGGAUGGCUUGAGUUUGGGAGAGGGAUGCGGAAUUCCAGGUGUAGCGGUGAAAUGCGUAGAUAUCUGGAGGAACACCGGUGGCGAAUGCGGCAUCCUGGACCAAUACUGACGCUGAGGAGCGAAAGCCAGGGGAG